rfam:Aquitalea magnusonii strain SM6 contig_6, whole genome shotgun sequence.
GCGAGCGUGGCGGAAUUGGUAGACGCACUGGAUUUAGGUUCCAGCGCCGCAAGGCGUGAGAGUUCGAGUCUCUCCGCUCGCA